rnacentral:tRNA from 1 species
GGGCCCUUAGCUCAGUUGGUUAGAGCAUCCGGCUCAUAACCGGACGGUCUAGGGUUCGAAUCCCUGAGGGCCCACCA